rnacentral:rRNA from 1 species
UGGUGGAGUGAUUUGUCUGGUUAAUUCCGAUAACGAACGAGACCUUAACCUGCUAACUAGUUUACUGAACGCGAGUUCUGCGAAACUUCUUAGAGGGACUAUCUGUGACUAACAGAUGGAAGUUUGAGGCAAUAACA